AGUGAACGCUGGCGGUAGGCCUAACACAUGCAGGUCGAACGGCAGCACAGUAAGAGCUUGCUCUUACGGGUGGCGAGUGGCGGACGAGUGAGGAAUACAUCGGAAUCUACUUUUUCGUGGGGGACAACGUAGGGAAACUUACGCUAAUACCGCAUACGACCUACGGGUGAAAGCAGGGGAUCUUCGGACCUUGCGCGAUUGAAUGAGCCGAUGUCGGAUUAGCUAGUUGGCGGGGUAAAGGCCCACCAAGGCGACGAUCCGUAGCUGGUCUGAGAGGAUGAUCAGCCACACUGGAACUGAGACACGGUCCAGACUCCUACGGGAGGCAGCAGUGGGGAAUAUUGGACAAUGGGCGCAAGCCUGAUCCAGCCAUACCGCGUGGGUGAAGAAGGCCUUCGGGUUGUAAAGCCCUUUUGUUGGGAAAGAAAAGCAGCAGGUUAAUACCCCGCUGUUCUGACGGUACCCAAAGAAUAAGCACCGGCUAACUUCGUG
rnacentral:rRNA from 1 species